GCCUAGUUAGCUUAGCUGGUAGUGCGUCUGCCUUGUAAGCGCUAGGCCGCGGGUUCGAUUCCCGCCCGGGGCA
rnacentral:tRNA from 1 species